rnacentral:snRNA from 1 species
GCUUGAAAAUCGGACGUCU